CGUAGGUGGCGAGCGUUAUCCGGAAUUAUUGGGCGUAAAGGGUGCGUAGGCGGUCUGUUAAGUUCAUGGUCAAAUUGUGGGGCUCAACCCCAUCGCGCCAUGGAUACUGGCAGACUAGAGUAUUGGAGAGGCAAGUGGAAUUCCAUGUGUAGCGGUAAAAUGCGUAGAUAUAUGGAGGAACACCGGUGGCGAAGGCGACUUGCUAGCCAAAGACUGACGCUGAGGCACGAAAGCGUGGGAGCAAAUAGGAUU
rnacentral:rRNA from 1 species